ACGGGAGGCAGCAGUGGGGAAUAUUGCACAAUGGGGGAAACCCUGAUGCAGCGACGCCGCGUGAGUGAAGAAGUAUUUCGGUAUGUAAAGCUCUAUCAGCAGGGAAGAGAAUGACGGUACCUGACUAAGAAGCCCCGGCUAACUACGUGCCAGCAGCCGCGGUAAUACGUAGGGGGCAAGCGUUAUCCGGAUUUACUGGGUGUAAAGGGAGCGUAGACGGCUGGACAAGUCUGAAGUGAAAGCCCAGGGCUCAACCCUGGGACUGCUUUGGGAACUGCCCGGCUAGAGUGCUGGAGAGGUAAGUGGAAUUCCUAGUGUAGCGGUGAAAUGCGUAGAUAUUAGGAGGAACACCGGUGGCGAAGGCGGCUUACUGGACAGUAACUGACGUUGAGGCUCGAAAGCGUGGGGAGCAAACAGAAUUAGAUACCCUGGUA
rnacentral:rRNA from 1 species